AACCGUCGUCCAAUGGAUGUUAAGUUCCCGGGCGGCGGUCAGAUCGUUGGUGGAGUCUACUUAUUGCCGCGCAGGGGCCCACGUUUGGGUGUGCGCGCGACGAGGAAGACUUCUGAACGAUCCCAGCCCAGAGGCA
rfam:Hepatitis C virus subtype 6n isolate KM42, complete genome